rnacentral:rRNA from 1 species
ACUCCUACGGGAGGCAGCAGUAGGGAAUCUUCCACAAUGGGCGCAAGCCUGAUGGAGCAACACCGCGUGAGUGAAGAAGGGUUUCGGCUCGUAAAGCUCUGUUGUUAAAGAAGAACACGUAUGAGGGUAACUGUUCAUACGUUGACGGUAUUUAACCAGAAAGUCACGGCUAACUACGUGCCAGCAGCCGCGGUAAUACGUAGGUGGCAAGCGUUAUCCGGAUUUAUUGGGGCGUAAAGAGAGUGCAGGCGGUUUUCUAAGUCUGAUGUGAAAGCCUUCGGCUUAACCGGAGAAGUGCAUCGGAAACUGGAUAACUUGAGUGCAGAAGAGGGUAGUGGAACUCCAUGUGUAGCGGUGGAAUGCGUAGAUAUAUGGAAGAACACCAGUGGCGAAGGCGGCUACCUGGUCUGCAACUGACGCUGAGACUCGAAAGCAUGGGUAGCGAACAGGAUUAGAUACCCUGGUAGGCUAGCG